rnacentral:ncRNA from 1 species
CUGCUGUCCUGCCAAGGGCACCGCAGGGUAGCUAUGUUCGGAACGGAUAACCGCUGAAAGCAUCUAAGCGGGAAACCGCCCCUAAGAUGAGGAAUCGUUAUAGACCCCUAGGAGAUGACUAGGUUGAUAGGCGCUAGGUGUACGCACAGUAAUGUGUUUAGCCGAGGCGUACUAAUUGGUCGAUCCUGUCGGGAAA